UACGUAGGGAGCGAGCGUUGUCCGGAAUUAUUGGGCGUAAAGCGCGUGUAGGCGGCUCGAUAAGUCUGCUGUGAAAGUCCAGGGCUCAACCCUGGAAUGCCGGUGGAUACUGUCGAGCUCGAGUCCGGAAGAGGCGAGUGGAAUUCCUGGUGUAGCGGUGAAAUGCGCAGAUAUCAGGAGGAACACCAAUGGCGAAGGCAGCUCGCUGGGACGUGACUGACGCUGAGACGCGAAAGCGUGGGGAGCAAACAGG
rnacentral:rRNA from 1 species